CCUGGUGGCUCAGAUGGUAAAGCGUCUGCCUACAAUGCAGGAGACCCAGGUUCAAUCCCUGGGUCAGGA
rfam:TPA: Bos taurus chromosome 6, whole genome shotgun sequence.